rnacentral:rRNA from 1 species
GACGAACGCUGGCGGCGUGCCUAAUACAUGCAAGUCGAGCGGAAGUUGAAGAGCUUGCUCUUCAACUUUAGCGGCGGACGGGUGAGUAACACGUGGGCAACCUGCCCUGCAGAUCGGGAUAACUCCGGGAAACCGGUGCUAAUACCGAAUCGUUUUCGCCACCUCCUGGUGGCGUACGGAAAGCCGGUUACGGCUGUCACUGCAGGUUGGGCCCGCGGCGCAUUAGCGAGUUGGUGGGGUAACGGCCCACCAAGGCGACGAUGCGUAGCCGACCUGAGAGGGUGAUCGGCCACACUGGGACUGAGACACGGCCCAGACUCCUACGGGAGGCAGCAGUAGGGAAUCUUCCGCAAUGGACGAAAGUCUGACGGAGCAACGCCGCGUGAGUGACGAAGGUUUUCGGAUCGUAAAACUCUGUUGUGAGGGAAGAACAAGUACCAACUAACUACUGGUACCUUGACGGUACCUCACCAGAAAGCCACGGCUAACUACGUGCCAGCCGCCGCAGUAAUAC